UAGGGAAUCUUCGGCAAUGGGGGGAACCCUGACCGAGCAACGCCGCGUGCGUGAAGAAGGUUUUCGGAUCGUAAAGCUCUGUUGUUAAGGAAGAACGAGUGUGAGAAUGUAAAGUUCAUGCUGUGCCGGUACUUAACCAGAAAGGGACGGCUAACUACGUGCCAGCAGCCGCGGUAAUACGUAGGUCCCGAGCGUUGUCCGGAUUUAUUGGGCGUAAAGCGAGCGCAGGCGGUUAGAAAAGUCUGAAGUGAAAGGCAGUGGCUCAACCAUUGUAGGCUUUGGAAACUGUUUAACUUGAGUGCAGAAGGGGAGAGUGGAAUUCCAUGUGUAGCGGUGAAAUGCGUAGAUAUAUGGAGGAACACCGGUGGCGAAAGCGGCUCUCUGGUCUGUAACUGACGCUGAGGCUCGAAAGCGUGGGGAGCGAACAGG
rnacentral:rRNA from 1 species